rnacentral:rRNA from 1 species
AGUUGAUCCUGCUGGAGGUCACUGCUCUAGGAAUCCGAAUUAGCCAUGCAAGUCGUGAGGGUUCGGCCCUCGGCGAACGGCUUAGUAACACGUAGAUAAUCUGCCCUAAAGAGGAGGAUAAUCUCGGGAAACUGAGGAUAAUACUCCAUAGGUAAGAGAUACUGGAAGGUUCUUUUACCCAAAGCUUCGGCGCUUUAGGAUGAGUCUGCGGCCGAUUAGCCUGUUGGUGGGGUAAUGGCCCACCAAAGCUUUGAUCGGUAAGGGCCAUGAAAGUGGUAGCCCUAAGAAGGGAACUGAGACAAGGUCCCUAGCCCUACGGGGUGCAGCAGUCACGAAAACUCCACAAUGCGCGAAAGCGUGAUGGGGGGAAUCCUAGUGCCAUACCAAAGGUAUGGCUUUUGCCAAGUGUAAGGAUCUUGGCGAAUAAGGGGUGGGCAAGACCGGUGCCAGCAGCCGCGGUAACACCUGCGCCCCAAGUGGUGACCAUGUUUAUUAGGCCUAAAACAUCCGUAGCCGGUCUGGUAAGUCUUUGGUGAAAUUGUUCAUCUUAAGUGAACAGCGUGCCAGGGAAACUACCAGACUUGAGAUCGGGAGGAGUCAGGGGUAUUUCUGGGUUAAGGGUAAAAUCUAGUAACCCCAGAAGGACUACCAGUGGCGAAGGCGCCUGACUAGAACGAGUCUGACGGUGAGGGAUGAAAGCCAAGGUAGCGAUGCGGAUUAGAUACCCGCGUAGUCUUGGCUGUAAACGCUGCCCGCUAGGUGCUGCUCGUCCUUCGUGGUCGAGCAGUGUCGAAGUGAAGACGUUAAGCGGGCUGCCUGGGGAGUACGGUCGCAAGGCUGAAACUUAAAGGAAUUGGCGGGGGAGCACAACAAGGGGUGGAGCGUGCGGUUUAAUUGGAUUCGACGCCGGAAAUCUCACCAGGAACGACAGCAGAGUGAAGGCCAGCUUAAACGGGCUUGCCUGACGCGCUGAGAGGUGGUGCAUGGCCGUCGUCAGCUCGUGUCGUGAGAUGUCCUCUUAAGUGAGGCAACGAGCGAGACCCUCGCCUUCAGUUGCUACUCACUCCCCCGGGAGUGGCGCACACUGGAGGGACUGCACCCGCUAAGGGUGAGGAAGGUGAGGGCUACGACUGGUCAGUAUGCCCCGAAUUCCCUGGGCUACACGCGCGCUACAAUGACUGGAACAAUGGGAUGCGACUCCGAGAGGAGAAGCUAAACUCCUAAAUCCAGUCCCAGUUCGGAUUGAGGGUUGUAACCCACCCUCAUGAAGACGGAAUCCCUAGUAACCGUGAAUCAAAAUCUCACGGUGAAUACGUCCCUGCUCCUUGCACACACCGCCCAUCAAACCAAUCGAGUUGAUCUUAGGUGAGACCCAGUCUUUUGUCUGGUUCGAACCUGGGUUCGGCGAGAGGGGUUAAGUUGUCACAAGGUA